GCCAUUGUGGUGUAGUGGUUUGAGCGUUGGGCUAUGACUCUCGAGACCAGGGUUCAAAUUCCUGCUUGGGCC